rnacentral:rRNA from 1 species
GAUGAACGCUGGCGGCGUGCCUAAGACAUGCAAGUCGAGCGGUAAGGCCCCUUCGGGGGUACACGAGCGGCGGACGGCAGAGUAACGCGUAGGAACCUACCCCAAACUGAGGGAUAAGCACCAGAAAUGGUGUCUAAUACCGCAUGUGCUCCUCGGAGUAAAGCUACGGCGGUUUGGGAAGGGCCUGCGUCUGAUUAGCUUGUUGGUAAGGUAAGGGCUUACCAAGGCGACGAUCGGUAGCUGGUCUGAGAGGAUGAUCAGCCUGACUGGGACUGAG